CACGUAGGGCGCAAGCGUUGUCCGGAAUUAUUGGGCGUAAAGAGCUCGUAGGCGGACUGUCACGUCUGCUGUGAAAAGCUGGGGCUUAACCCUGGCCUUGCAGUGGAUACGGGCAGACUAGAGGUAGGUAGGGGAGAAUGGAAUUCCUGGUGUAGCGGUGAAAUGCGCAGAUAUCAGGAAGAACACCCGUGGCUAAGGCGGCUCUCUAGUACGGUACUGACGCUGAGACGCGAAAGCGUGGGAGCGAAGCAGG
rnacentral:rRNA from 1 species